rnacentral:rRNA from 1 species
GAUGAACGCUGGCGGCGCGCUUAACACAUGCAAGUCGAACGAUUAAAGCACCCUUGGGUGUGUAUCACGUGGCGCAAGGCUGUGUAACACAUGGGCAUAAUGUCCCCUUCAUUUGGAUAGAAACGGAGAAACCUGGGUAUUACAGCAUAUUUCGACUCUUGCGCCUGGAUGACUCGUGAAAGCUUCGGCGGUGUGGGAUGGGACCGCGGCCUGUUAGCUUGUUGGUGGGGUAACGGCCUACCAAGGCCAUGAAGGGUAGCCGGGUUGAGAGGGGGACCAGCCAGAUUGGGACUGAGACACGGCCCAGACUCCUACGGGAGGCAGCAGUGGGGAAUCUUGCACAAUGGGCGAAAGCCUGAUGCAGCAACGCCGCGUGCGGGAUGAAGGCCUUCGGGUUGUAAACCGCUUUCAGCAGUGACGAGGCGAAAGUGACGGUACUGGCAGAAGAAGCCCCGGCUAACUACGUG